rnacentral:rRNA from 1 species
GACGAACGCUGGCGGCGUGCCUAACACAUGCAAGUCGAACGGGGCUCUUUGGAUCGAGACUUCGGUCAAGUGAAUCUGAGCUUAGUGGCGGACGGGUGAGUAACGCGUGAGCAACCUGCCUUUCAGAGGGGGACAACAGUUGGAAACGACUGCUAAUACCGCAUAAUGUCAUUUGGGGGCAUCCCUGGAUGACCAAAGAUUUAUUGCUGAAAGAUGGUCUCGCGUCUGAUUAGCUGGUUGGCGGGGUAACGGCCCACCAAGGCGACGAUCAGUAGCCGGUCUGAGAGGAUGAACGGCCACAUUGGGACUGAGAUACGGCCCAG